rnacentral:rRNA from 1 species
GACGAACGCUGGCGGCGUGCUUAACACAUGCAAGUCGAGCGGAGCGGCGAACGGGUGAGUAACGCGUGAGUAACUGCCCCCCUCUCUGGGAUAACAGUUGGAAACGGCUGCUAAUACCGGAUAGUGGGGGAUGACUCGCGUCCGAUCAGCUUGUUGGUGGGGUAGUGGCCUACCAAGGCGACGACGGGUAGCCGGCCUGAGAGGGGGACCGGCCCCAUUGGGCUGGGAUACGGGCCAAGAUCCUACGGGGGGCAGGAGGGGGGGAUAUUGCACAAUGGGGGGAAACCUGAUGGAGGAACGCCGGGUGCGUGGAGGACGCCCUCCGGUUGUAAACCGCUUUCAGCCAUGACGCGGUAGUGGCAGAAGAAGCACCGGCUAACUACGUGCCAGCAGCCGCGGUAAUUC